GCCUGGGUGGCUCAGUCGGUUGAGCGUCCGACUUCAGCUCAAGUCAUGAUCUCGCGGUUCGUGGGUUCGAGCCCCGCAUCGGGCU
rfam:Felis catus isolate Cinnamon breed Abyssinian chromosome E1, whole genome shotgun sequence.